UUUUAAUGAGAGUUUGAUCCUGGCUCAGGACGAACGCUGGCGGCGUGCCUAAUACAUGCAAGUAGAACGCUGAGGUUUGGUGUUUACACUAGACUGAUGAGUUGCGAACGGGUGAGUAACGCGUAGGUAACCUGCCUCAUAGCGGGGGAUAACUAUUGGAAACGAUAGCUAAUACCGCAUAAGAGUAA
rnacentral:rRNA from 1 species